rnacentral:lncRNA from 7 species
AACAAUUUGUUGCGGAGAGCCCAGUGCUGUGCUGUGCACGCCAACCACAACUGAAAGGGAGAGCCGAAGAGGGAAGGGGGAGAAGCGACCGCGCCGCCAAACCCUAGCCCCGCGCAAGCGACCGUGGGGGAGCUCCACUCCGCCGCGCCGCCCCCCGUCCCCGUUUCGCGACAUGGCCGAUUCCCCGCGCAGGAGGUAACUACGCCUGCCUCUCUAUUCGUAUAUAUAUGGGCGUCGUAACCCUCGGUAGUGGUGAUGUUAACUUGUGAGAUCUCAGCUUAGUUCUGUGGAUGCCGUUUGAUUUCGUUGUAGGGUAGUAUGGGAAAACGGAGCAUCCAUAGAGAAGAUAAUAGGAUAUGCGGGAGGGAAUGUGUGGUUGUGAUUUCUGUUGUUCUAUUUGUCAUGUUUUGAGGUAAACGAUGAAUAGUGAGGCUCACCGUACCUUGCUUCUUGUGCUUAUGAGGGCAACGAUAGCUAUGUGUUUAGACUUCUUGUGUGCAUCUUAAGAUCUCUAGUAUGAGCUCCUGGGUUAUCAAUAUGGAUGCACCAACUUGCCUGUUUGGGUUUUUCUUUAUUUACUAACCCUCUUUCUCCCAAACGUUUCUGGUGUAGCCUCCUAUCGGUCAUGUUUCUUGCGAUAGCGUGUUUGAAUCUGGCACAACUUACUUACUAUCUAGAAUGCUCAUGUUUGUAAUUUGUGUCUUGGAAUGAGGUUAGUUUUAUGUUUGAAUCUGCCGCUGCCAUGUGCAUGUUUAGUGCAGCCUCACACACCUUUGACCAGAAACAAUGGUGUUUGUCUUGAUUCUGCUGGCACAAUUUGCUUGCUAUCCAAAGUGUGUGGUCUAAUACCUUCUGACCAAAUUCUUAAUACACUUAAUGGCUUAACUUGUUAG